ACAGAGGAGAUAAUCUCCAGGAUGCC
rnacentral:piRNA from 1 species